UACGUAGGUGACAAGCGUUGUCCGGAUUUACUGGGCGUAAAGGGCGCGUAGGCGGCCUGAUAAGUAGGGGGUGAAAUCCUGCGGCUUAACCGCAGGGCUGCCUUCUAAACUGUCAGGCUUGAGCACAGUAGAGGCAGGUGGAAUUCCCGGUGUAGCGGUGGAAUGCGUAGAGAUCGGGAAGAACAUCAGUGGCGAAGGCGGCCUGCUGGGCUGUUGCUGACGCUGAGGCGCGACAGCGUGGGGAGCAAACAGG
rnacentral:rRNA from 1 species